GUGUGUGUGUGUCUGUCAUGAAUAAAUAAAUAAAAUUAAAUUAAAAAAAAAAAAAAGAAAUCCAAGCAGAGAUGCCAAACAGGCAGUUGGCUGUUUCUGCCUAAAGUUCAGGGGGGAGGGCUGGGUGAGAGUGUCAGUCGGUACCUGGUAGCAUAAAACUGUGCCCACAGCCACAAGGCUGAAUAAGAUCACCAGUGUGUAUAAAUUCUUUGAACAUCCCCAUAAGGGCAGGAAUCUGUGUUGUUGUGGCUGAUCUUGCCUCAGUGCCGAUUCAGCAUUCUUCCCUCCUUCUUACUAAAAGAAUUCUGUUUUAAAGUGAUCAUAACAUGACUGACAGGCACAGAUGUGGCCCUGUGGUCUAGUUCUGGCCCAUGAGUGUAGGCAUAAGUCAUGGGAUGGGAUUCUAGAAAGGCUAGGUGCCAGUAUCAUCUUUUUCUUAUCCUUUGUCCUUGCCCUCCUUCCUGCUCGGAGUGUGGACAGAAUGCUGAAAGUGCUGGAGGUCAGACAGUGACAAAUACUCAAUAGUGACUGCUGGACAGAAAGAUAGAAAGUUCCUGAACCCAUCUUGGCAUUGUAGAGUCACACAACAGCCCUGAACUGCCUACUCUGGACUUCACAUUAGAAUAUGGUGUCAUCCCAUCUCAUUUGAAGCCACAAGACCCUUUGGAAUACUUGGUUUUCCAUUAGUGGAGUGCUCAUGUUGAGGCCCACAGUAACUGGGGAGGUUUUCUGCAAGGGAGCAACUCGCCUCUGGAUGUCUUUCUCUGGUCACAGUGGUGGUUCUUAGAUCACUUGACAUUUGCCCACCAGCUUCCCAGGUUUGAAUCUCUUGGCAAUGAAGAAGAAAGUGGAACCAGACCUAAGACCAGAAACUCCAGUAUAUUGUUGAAUGGAAGUUGUGAGAGUGGACAUUUUUCUCUUGUUCCUGCUUUUAAGGAGAGUAAGAAGGCAAAGCUGACUUAUCCAUAGCUGGCCUCUUAGAACAAGAUGUUAAUUGGCAAUGCUAUAUAAAAUUCAGAUGUAGGAAAAAGGGUAAAAAUCAAAGAUUCUACACCUUCCAUUUGGAAUUCCUGCAGCAGUUUUACCAGGCUACAAAGCAGAUCCCACAGUGGGACAUGGAAAUGCUGGCUGCUCCGAGGUUAGCUUGAACCGAGGAGAGGGACUCGGCUGGAAUACAGACAUGCCUCAGGCUGUGUCUCAGGCGCCGGGCUUCCAGCUCCGACAACAUAGACUGUCAACGCAGCUCUGCUGUGAGUGGAACUGGACACUUGGUGAUGGCCAAAAACAACAGUUGACUAAAAUAAUGAAGCAACAUGUGGAUGGUGAUGGAGAUGGAGAAAAAUAGAACCGGAUGGGCCCUCUGGAAAUCAUCUUGAACCCUCUUCCUUUCUUUCACAGUGCUUCUGACAGAAUUCAAAAUAUUCGUUUGGUGGCAUGGUGAUGGCACAGAGCCAUUGGGGCAAAGAAGCUCUCAAUUUUCAGGUCUCAAACCCAUGAGCUGAUUCCAUGCAACGCACGAUGGGAAAAAGACUACCUGGGCAGCUUUAAAAAUUGAACUGAUGUCUGGACCUCACCUCCCACUGGUUCCAACUCAGUUGGGCCUCCUUAUUUUAAACUAUGCAUGUUUCAUAGCACUGAAGAAACUUGACUUCACGAAUUAGGACCUGAAGAAGCAGAUCACAGCUGGCUGAACCCUACUGAGGAACUAUUUGGAGGGUUCUUGGGAAAUCAUGGGCAAUCUGUCCAAGGACUCGGAGCACUGCAAAGAGGGGAAAAGUGCUUUUUAGACUACAGAUUAAAUCCUGAUGUUGGCGAUGAUGAUGAUGGUGGUGGUGAUCACAUUUAUGGGAGUGUGCUUGUUCAUAGAAACCACAGGAAAUGCCAAGGAGGUCGGUCAUUUCCUGGCACAGUGAAGUCUAUGGACAGUUGAUUGAAUAACAUCCCCUCAAAUUUCGCAUCUACUUGGAAUGUCAGAAUGUGACCUUACUUGAAAAUAAGGUCCUUAAAGAUACAACUGCCUACAAAUGAAAUCACCCUGAAUUUAGGGCACCCUACAUCCAAUGACUGGUGUCCUUAUUAAGAGAGAACACAUAGACACAGAGAUGAAGGCCAAGUAAAGACAGAAGCCGAGGUUGGAGUUACCUGCCACAAGUCAAGGAUCACCUGGGGCCACGAGAAGCUGGAAGAAGCAAGGAAGGAUUCUUCCCUAGAGCCUUUGGAGGGGGCAUAGCCCUGCUGACAUGUUAAUUUUGGACCUAGCCUCCAACACUGUAGGAGAAAAAAUGCUUGUUGUUUUAAGCCACCCACUUUGAGGUGCCAUGUUACAGCAGCCCUGGGAAGCUAACGCCGUCUGGAAUGCAGGAGUCUUUUCAGUUUAUAAACCAUUUUUAGAUCAUUUGCUCUAGGAGAAGCAAGCUGCCAUGUUGUGGAAAGGCUCAUGUGUCAAGAAACUAAAAUCUCCACUGAUAGCUAGCAAGAAACUGAGGACUGCUCCUGGAUGCCUGACUCUCAGAAACUGCAGUAACAAAUGUUUUUGUUUAAAGCCAGGGAGUGUUGAGUGUGCUGGGCAUCACCACAGGAAAGAUGCUUUCUUCGGGGAGCUCGAAGUGCUGGUGGCAUGGACCGGACAGUUGGGGCCCAGCCCCCUCCCCACCUGCCCGCCUCCCUGGAGACAGUCCUGGGAGGCAGGCGGGGAGCGGGGCUGGGGCGGGGCAGCGCGGCUCACCUGCAAGGCAGCGCGAAAACCAACACCCAGGGAUGGGCCCGGAGGAAGGGAAGGAUCCUGCCCCUGCUCCAGCAGCUGAAAGCGAGAAGCUGAUAAUAGCCAGGAGGCCUGAAAUGCACCCACGGAAUGGACCUGUGACCCAGUGACAGCCAAGGAACACACGAAACAUCUGCUGGGGCCGUUUGGAGAGAAGAACGUUCUCUUUCUCACUGCUUGAACCUGGAGUUCACUUUGCAGUGCAAACUUCUUCCCACCAGAGGCAUAGAGUCUGUCUGAGAGUGGCAUCAACAUAAAGGUAGCAAGACCAAGAGGUGAUAUCAGGUGCUAGUGACUUCUUACAAGACCCUGAAUCAAGCCAUGCCUGAAGACAGACCUACCCCUUGGACUUUUCAACUGUGUGGAGGUCCAUUUAAAAGCUGCCAGUCACAAUGCCUCACCAGCUCCCCUGUAAAUAUUUCAAGAAGAAUUUUUGCAAACUCUUAUCCUACACAGCUCCUAAAGCCUCCUCCAGAUGGCAUGACGCUGACUGAACCUGGAUGCAUCCUCUGAGUAAGGCAGCAUAAAUCAGUUGGGAUGAGAUCCCUCUUUGUUGGUGAAGAUAUCUGCCACAUUAAAUGGAGACUCUAUAGAGGAUUUGCUGACAAAAAAUAGAAGUACAGCAAGGAAGUAAAAAGUGACAACACUGGCAGCAAAAUUGGAUGUGGAUAGAUUUGAAGAUGGCAACAACAAAGCAAAGAUCAGAGGAGACACGAAGCUACUAGAAGCUAUGGUGCUGAUCUUACUGGAAAAGCCCAAUGAGUAUAAAAAAACAGCAGAAUAGUAAAACAGACACGUUAUUGGCAGCUCCGUAGUGCUAAGGAGAGGCCGGCUCCAGCAUGACAUCAGCCCACCGCUUGACCCAAAUCUACUAUUUCACCAGAGAGCCUUGCACUGCCUGCUUUCCAACAUACAGAAGAUGCACACGGGGGACGAGAGAAGAAGGCAUAAAUAAGACACAGAUUGGAGACUUUCUGAUGUGUUUAGCACAUUUUUGUGACUUCCUUUAAUACCAUAGACCUUGGUUCUCCCACCACGAGGCGAACAAAAGACAAGCCCGAGAUGGGGGUUGGGUUGGGGUGGGGGAGACCCAUUCAGUAAAAAGUUCUGCUCGCCUACUUAGCAUUUUUAAUUGAAACGCUAAAAAGAGGAGGCAAAAAUAGGAAGAGGAGAAUGAAUGCCACAGCCGAGUGAUUUCAGAUAUAAAAAGUCCCUUCAUUAAAUCCGUUGUUUUUUAAUUCAUAAUUGAACUUAAAUAAAGAGCGACCUAUGGGCAGCUGUUUCUAAUAUCGAGUCCCCACCGCACAUGAAAGACGCAUUUAUUCUUGCGGCAGCCUCCCUACCCUUGGGUGUUAUCAGCUGAACAUGUUUUGAACCUACCUAAUGCAUUUGAGGUAGCUUGGGUUUAUUUUUCUUUCAAUAAAAUAAAUGGUUUUGUAAUUAAA